GAUGAACGCUGGCGGCGUGCCUAAUACAUGCAAGUCGAGCGAACAGACGAGGAGCUUGCUCCUCUGACGUUAGCGGCGGACGGGUGAGUAACACGUGGAUAACCUACCUAUAAGACUGGGAUAACUUCGGGAAACCGGAGCUAAUACCGGAUAAUAUAUUGAACCGCAUGGUUCAAUAGUGAAAGACGGUUUUGCUGUCACUUAUAGAUGGAUCCGCGCCGCAUUAGCUAGUUGGUAAGGUAACGGCUUACCAAGGCAACGAUGCGUAGCCGACCUGAGAGGGUGGUCGGCCACACUGGAACGGGGCACCGGUGCAGGAGCCUACGGGAGGCACCAGGAGGGCAUGUUCCGCAAUGGUCGAAAGAUUGACGGACCAACGCCGCGUGAGAGAUGAAGGUCUUCGGAUCGUAAGACUCUGUUAUUAGGGAAGAACAAAUGUGUAAGUAACUAUGCACGGCUUGACGGUACCUAAUCAGAAAGCAACGGCUAACUACGUG
rnacentral:rRNA from 1 species